GUGAAUCAUCGAAUCUUUGAACGCACAUUGCGCCCCGUGGCAUUCCGCGGGGCAUGCCUGUUCGAGCGUCAUUUCACCACUCAAGCCUAGCUUGGUAUUGGGCGUCGCGGUUCCGCGCGCCUUAAAGUCUCCGGCUGAGCAGUCCGUCUCUAAGCGUUGUGGCAUAUAUUUCGCUCAAGAGUUCGGACGGCUUUUGGCCGUUAAAUCUCUACAAAGGUUGACCUCGGAUCAGGUAGGGAUACCCGCUGAACUUAAGCAUAUCAAUAAGCGGAGGA
rnacentral:misc_RNA from 1 species